GACGAACGCUGGCGGCGUGCUUAACACAUGCAAGUCGAACGGAAAGGCCCUGCUUUUGUGGGGUGCUCGAGUGGCGAACGGGUGAGUAACACGUGAGUAACCUGCCCUUGACUUUGGGAUAACUUCAGGAAACUGGGGCUAAUACCGGAUAGGAGCUCCUGCUGCAUGGUGGGGGUUGGAAAGUUUCGGCGGUUGGGGAUGGACUCGCGGCUUAUCAGCUUGUUGGUGGGGUAGUGGCUUACCAAGGCUUUGACGGGUAGCCGGCCUGAGAGGGUGACCGGCCACAUUGGGACUGAGAUACGGCCCAGACUCCUACGGGAGGCAGCAGUGGGGAAUAUUGCACAAUGGGCGGAAGCCUGAUGCAGCAACGCCGCGUGCGGGAUGACGGCCUUCGGGUUGUAAACCGCUUUCGCCUGUGACGAAGCGUGAGUGACGGUAAUGGGUAAAGAAGCACCGGCUAACUACGUGCCAGCAGCCGCGGUGAUACGUAGGGUGCGAGCGUUGUCCGGAUUUAUUGGGCGUAAAGGGCUCGUAGGUGGUUGAUCGCGUCGGGAAGUGUAAUCUUGGGGCUUAACCCUGAGCGUGCUUUCGAUACGGGUUGACUUGAGGAAGGUAGGGGAGAAUGGAAUUCCUGGUGGAGCGGUGGAAUGCGCAGAUAUCAGGAGGAACACCAGUGGCGAAGGCGGUUCUCUGGGCCUUUCCUGACGCUGAGGAGCGAAAGCGUGGGGAGCGAACAGGCUUAGAUACCCUGGUAGUCCACGCUGUAAACGGUGGGUACUAGGUGUGGGGUCCAUUCCACGGGUUCCGUGCCGUAGCUAACGCUUUAAGUACCCCGCCUGGGGAGUACGGCCGCAAGGCUAAAACUCAAAGGAAUUGACGGGGCCCCGCACAAGCGGCGGAGCAUGCGGAUUAAUUCGAUGCAACGCGUAGAACCUUACCUGGGUUUGACAUGGAUCGGGAGUGCUCAGAGAUGGGUGUGCCUCUUUUGGGGUCGGUUCACAGGUGGUGCAUGGCUGUCGUCAGCUCGUGUCGUGAGAUGUUGGGUUAAGUCCCGCAACGAGCGCAACCCUUGUUCACUGUUGCCAGCACGUUAUGGUGGGGACUCAGUGGAGACCGCCGGGGUCAACUCGGAGGAAGGUGGGGAUGACGUCAAGUCAUCAUGCCCCUUAUGUCCAGGGCUUCACGCAUGCUACAAUGGCUGGUACAGAGAGUGGCGAGCCUGUGAGGGUGAGCGAAUCUCGGAAAGCCGGUCUCAGUUCGGAUUGGGGUCUGCAACUCGACCUCAUGAAGUCGGAGUCGCUAGUAAUCGCAGAUCAGCAACGCUGCGGUGAAUACGUUCCCGGG
rnacentral:rRNA from 1 species